UGUACAUUCGUGAUUCCCUGAGUUUUAUACGAUAUUCCGUUCAUCGUAUCACUACUCCUUAGUGAAGUGCUCGUUUUAUUCUGAAAUAAUUUGUGUAGUUUCUGUUUUUCAACGAAAAAAUCCGAGAACAUCCAUGGAAGUUCCAGGCUGUUGGUGGGAUGUUUCGGGGGACGGACCUGGUGCUCCUCCGAGGAAGUAGGAGAAGUUGGACUCCAGAAUGAUGAAGAAUCAAAGGCUGGAGCCCUGACUAUGUGUUCCAGUGAAGAAUCAGGGGCUGGAGCACUGACAACGUGUUCUGUGGCAUCUUUGUGGUGAUUUCCUUGGCUCCUGGAGUGAUUGACAAGUCUGGAAUGAUGCUCGGUUCCUGGAGGCUCUGCUGGAGAGUACUGUAACAUAGUGCACUGGAACUGGUGAUCCAGGAUGUUCCAAGAGAGGUGUCCUGUCGAUGGCCAGUCGUAAGGAUUUUAGGGAGGAAAUAAUUAAUUGAGCAACCGUCUGCUCCGAUUAAUUUGGUUUUGUGAGGGAAGAAAUAUGAGCAACCUUCUGCUCCAUGUUCGUAAAACGAAGGGGUAACACACUGGUUGAAGUCUAAGAUGUCGGCAGUUAGAGCGGAUGUCGAAUAUUCUACGCUGUUGCUAAGUGAAUUAUUUAAUAAUAAUUUACAUUGUUUUCUCG